AACGAACGCUGGCGGCGUGCCUAAUACAUGCAAGUCGAACGAGAAAGUGGCUUCGGCCAUGAGUACAGUGGCGGACGGGUGAGUAAUACAUAGGUAACCUACCCCUUGGUGGUGGAUAACCUUCCGAAAGGAGGGCUAAUACAGCGUAAGACCACGACUUCGAAAGAGGUUGAGGUAAAAAGUGGGCCUCUGUACACAAGCUCACGCCAGGGGAUGGGGUCCGCGGCCCAUCAGCUAGUUGGUAGGGUAACGGCCUACCAAGGCGAAGACGGGUAGCUGGUCUGAGAGGAUGAUCAGCCACAUUGGGACUGAGACACGGCCCAAACUCCUACGGGAGGCAGCAGUGGGGAAUAUUGGACAAUGGGCGCAAGCCUGAUCCAGCCAUGCCGCGUGAGUGAUGAAGGCCCUAGGGUUGUAAAGGCUCUUUCACCGGGUUGAAGGAUAAUGACGGUAACCGGAGAAGAAGCCCCGGCUAACUUCGUGCCAGCAGCCGCGGUAAU
rnacentral:rRNA from 1 species